UACGGAGGUGGCAAGCGUUGCUCGGAAUCACUGGGCGUAAAGGGCGCGUAGGCGGGGAGGUAAGUCGGGUGUGAAAUCCCUCGGCCCAACCGAGGAACUGCGCCCGAGACUGCUUCUCUUGGAGUCCCGGAGAGGAAGGUGGAAUUCCCGGUGUAGCGGUGAAAUGUGUAGAGAGUCGGGAGGAACACCGGUGGCGAAGGCGGGGUCUCUGGACAGUUCCUGACGCUGAGGCACGAAGGCCCAGGGGAGCAAACGGG
rnacentral:rRNA from 1 species